rnacentral:rRNA from 1 species
UACAGGUGUUGCAUGGCUGUCGUCAGCUCGUGUUGUGAAAUGUUUGGUUAAGUCCUUAAACGAGCGCAACUCUUUUUUUUAGUUGCUCUUUAUGUUAUAAUAAAGCACUCUAAAAAUACUAUUUACGAUGAGUAAAAGGAAGGAGAAUUAUGUCAAGUCCUCAUGGCCCUUAUAGACUGGGCUACACACGUGCUACAAUGGCAAUGACAAAAUGUUAUAAUAGUGUAAGCUGGAAUAAAUCAUUAAAAGUUGUCUAAGUUCGGAUUGUUAACUGUAACUCGUUAACAUAAAGUUGGAAUCACUAGUAAUCGUAAAUUAGUAUGUUACGGUGAAUUUGUACCUGGGCCUUGUACAUACCGCCCGUCACAUGCCGGGAAUUCGCUCUACUUUAAGAAAUUUAAAAACAACUAUUAGAAUUUUAUUUUUUUAAUAGAAUUUUGUUUCCAAGGCGGGGUGAGUGACUGGGAUGAAGUCGUAACAAGGUAGGCGUACGUGAACGUGCGGCUGGA